rnacentral:rRNA from 1 species
CCUACGGGGUGCAGCAGUAGGGAAUAUUGCUCAAUGGGGGAAACCCUGAAGCAGCAACGCCGCGUGGAGGAUGAAGGUUUUCGGAUUGUAAACUCCUUUUGUUAGAGAAGAUAAAUACGGUAGCUAAGGAAUAAGCACCGGAGCACUCCGUGCCAGCAGCCGCGGUAAUACGGAGGGAGCCAGCGUUACUCGGAAUCACUGGGCGGCAAGAGCGCGUAGGCGGGAUCGCAAGUCCGAUGGGACAUCCUAUGGCUUUACCAUAGAACUGCAUUUGAAACUUUUAUUCUAGCGUAUGGGAGAGGUAGGUGGCAUUCUUGGUGUAGGGGUAAAAUCCGUAGAGAUCAAGAGGAAUACUCAUUGCGCGGGCGACCUGCUAGACCAUAACUGACGCUGAUGCGCGAACGCGUGGGGAGCAAACAGGAUUAGAUACCCUUGUAGUC